rfam:Beta vulgaris subsp. vulgaris Bvchr1.sca002.con0091.1, whole genome shotgun sequence.
AGGAGCCGUAUGAGGUGAAAAUUUCAUGUACGGUUCUGGAACAGAGAUUCUUUUAAUCAAAUAACGACCUUAAC